rnacentral:rRNA from 1 species
AGGACGAACGCUGGCGGCGUGCUUCACACAUGCAAGUCGAACGGGGCUCAUUCGGUGGUAACACCGGAGAAGGCCUAGUGGCGAACGGGUGCGUAACACGUGAAGAACCUGCCCCGAAGACUGGGAUAACAGCGGGAAACCGCUGCUAAUACCGGAUGACCCCACCAGGCCGCAUGGCCAGGUGAGGAAAUGGGCCUACCGCUUCGGGAGGGCUUCGCGGCCUAUCAGCUUGUUGGUGGGGUAACGGCCUACCAAGGCUACGACGGGUAGCUGGUCUGAGAGGACGACCAGCCACACUGGGGACUGAGACACGGCCCAGACUCCUACGGGAGGCAGCAGUGGGGAAUCUUGCGCAAUGGGCGAAAGCCUGACGCAGCAACGCCGCGUGAGGGAUGAAGGUCUUCGGGUUGUAAACCUCUUUCGAGCAGGGACGAUUGUGACGGUACCUGCAGAGAAGCUCCGGCAACUACGCGCCAGCAGCCGCGGU